rnacentral:rRNA from 1 species
GGGGAUAACACUUGGAAACAGGUGCUAAUACCGUAUAACACUAUUUUCCGCAUGGAAGAAAGUUGAAAGGCGCUUUGCGUCACUGAUGGAUGGACCCGCGGUGCAUUAGCUAGUUGGUGAGGUAACGGCUCACCAAGGCCACGAUGCAUAGCCGACCUGAGAGGGUGAUCGGCCACACUGGGACUGAGACACGGCCCAGACUCCUACGGGAGGCAGCAGUAGGGAAUCUUCGGCAAUGGACGAAAGUCUGACCGAGCAACGCCGCGUGAGUGAAGAAGGUUUUCGGAUCGUAAAACUCUGUUGUUAGAGAAGAACAAGGAUGAGAGUAAAAUGUUCAUCCCUUGACGGUAUCUAACCAGAAAGCCACGGCUAACUACGUGCCAGCAGCCGCGGUAAUACGUAGGUGGCAAGCGUUGUCCGGAUUUAUUGGGCGUAAAGCGAGCGCAGGCGGUUUCUUAAGUCUGAUGUGAAAGCCCCCGGCUCAACCGGGGAGGGUCAUUGGAAACUGGGAGACUUGAGUGCAGAAGAGGAGAGUGGAAUUCCAUGUGUAGCGGUGAAAUGCGUAGAUAUAUGGAGGAACACCAGUGGCGAAGGCGGCUCUCUGGUCUGUAACUGACGCUGAGGCUCGAAAGCGUGGGGAGCGAACAGGAUUAGAUACCCU